GACGAACGCUGGCGGCGUGCCUAAUACAUGCAAGUCGAACGCAGUGGGGACGGGUGAGUAACACGUGGGUAACCUCCCAUCAGAGGGGAUAACACUUGGAAACAGGUGCUAAACCGAUACUGAUGGAUGAACCCGCGGUGCAUUAGCUAGUUGGUGAGGUAACGGCUCACCAAGGCCACGAUGCAUAGCCGACCUGGGAGGGUGAUUGGCCCAACGUGGACUGAGAAACGGCCCAGACUUCUACGGGAGGGAGCAGUAGGGAAUUUUCGGCAAUGGACGAAAGUCUGACCGAGCAACGCCGGGUUAGUGAAGAAGGUUUUCGGAUCGGAAAACUCUGUUGGUAGAGAAGCGGUAUCUAACCAGAAAGCCACGGCUAACUACGUGCCAGCAGCCGCGGUAAUUC
rnacentral:rRNA from 1 species